rnacentral:rRNA from 1 species
UAAGGAAUCUUCCACAAUGGACGAAAGUCUGAUGGAGCAACGCCGCGUGAGUGAAGAAGGGUUUCGGCUCGUAAAACUCUGUUGUUAAAGAAGAACAUAUCUGAGAGUAACUGUUCAGGUAUUGACGGUAUUUAACCAGAAAGCCACGGCUAACUACGUGCCAG